UAAAUCUUGAAUUUACCACGGAAAAUGUAGAGAACGAGACUUAACUCGGUAAAUAACCGCCAUCCUGGCGCCACGAGGAUUUUCAUGUUGGAAUUUAAGGUGUUUAGAUGAUAAUCACAGAAUCGAGCAUCGAGUCACAUUUCCUAGGAUAAUCAGUAUUUACAUUUGCGAGAAGAUAUAGAUUCCAUGAGUAUAUAAUAUUUGCAUGUAUCUACAUUAUUGAUAACUGAACACCAAAGAACAUCGAAUAUUCAGACUGCUUUUCACUCCUAUCUCCCUACAUCGCGUUGCUAUCGUUCUAAGUAUUCUGUUUUCUAAAGAUACCGCUCGCUAGCGCCCACGAUACCAACGCUCAAUGGAAAGUUUAGAAUAUGGAAGAUUGCAUAGGAGUAUUACAAGUUCUAUGUCUAAUAGAGCGAGAUUUUCCAUGGAUGAAAGCGCGAAGUAAGAAAAGUGAUCUCGCGUUAAUGGGAGAGCCGAUUAAAUCGUGAAUCGAACAACGGCCCCUCUGUCUUACACGAUAAUUAUUUUCCCCCACGUAUUGCCUGUACACAUACGAACACGACACGUGUAUGCAGAGAGGCGGUGUGCUGGUAAUUCUUGUCACGCGUUGCUUGCCGUCUUUCUCUGCCAGUUCAUCUAUCUGUUUACCUAUCUCUUCCUCUUUCAUCAUCGGCAUUCGAACGAUACCGAGCCGUGCCGAUUCGUUCCACUACGUUAGACCUACGUGACCGUACGUUCAGGCCACUUGCUUCCGAACCAAACUGCCAAGCCCGAUCCGUGAGACCAGCCAUCGAGAUUAUUUUAGUAUCGUCACGAUUCUCUGAACCAGUCGGAUCGUAGAGCACGAUCGGAGCGGUAGGAAAGGGAAUAUCCUCGUGUAAAGCGUUAAGCUUCCAUCUUCGUGCACAAAGUCCGCACCUUUGGGCAGCACGACGACCUGGUUCGUACAAGAAACUCGGCAUUAUACUCCUUCUGAACGGACUCGAACCGUUCUUUGAAUGAGUGAGUAACAGAGUCUACGAAGAAGGGGGACAGAGAGGAAUCGUCGAAAGAGAAGCGAACAGACGAAGAGGGAGCCGGCUAAAAGACUGUGUUCUCUGACUGACCGAGAGGACCAACAGCGAAAGCCAAGAGAGAGAAGAUCGUCGAAUACGCCCUUGAAAGGAAGAAACGAAAAGGAGCUAUUAGCACGUUUCACGUCUACCACGAUCGCCAGCUAUUUUUACCCCCCAUUUGCUUCUACGUUUCUUUCUUUUCUCUUCGCGCUCCUUCAUCGUGUGGUAACAUAUUAUUCUGAAACGUUUCGGCAUGGAAAUUUAGUCGGAGAGUUAUGUUUCUUGAAUCUUUGCCAUUAGUUUGGGAAUCGGGCUACAGCCGAGGUUGCAUUCGUAGAACAAAUGUUGCAACCGAACUUCAUUCUCCGAGCAAAGAUCGGCAAUAUUUCUUUCUCCUGAUUCGAAUCAAAGAUGUCGAUAUCGAAACGCUAAUAGAAGUGAGAUUCUAUUUACGUCCAAUAAUAAUAGAAAUUGAAGCAAAAAUUUGUGGCUGAUUUUUAACGCUAAUGAAAUUAUUGAAUAUUUAAUUCCACGUUUCAUUCGCUUAAUUGGAUUCGGACGGCAGUACAGUUAAUUGGCCACUAAUUAAAAUUUCAUCCCAAUAAGUGGAGUUCUAUCGUGACUUCGAAGAAUACUAGAAAGAUCGUUCUAACCAAUUGGCUUCAGAGCGAGCCAAGAAGCCAAGGAAAAAAGACAGACGACUCACGAGAAAUAUCGAACGAGUUCACCGAGCAAUAGGCAAGAUUGUUUCAACCAACGUGCGAGCAAAAAUAGACGUCGAACCGCGUUCCCAGUAAUGGUCCUUUCAGACAUGUAAAUCUAUUCGAGCCACGCAGCAGCAGGAGCAAAAACGGUCGAAAAUAUUUUUCCAAGAUCGAAUCGUGGCUCGGCCACUUGGAGACUCGUCUAAAAACCAUUCCAUCUUUAAACAUUCAACGUCCAAUUCAAUGAAACCUGCAAGUCGCGUCUUGAUUCGAUUAUCUCGAUCGCACGAAAUAGAAACUAGUAUAUAUUUCGAACGCAGAGAAUCCGUUCAACGUCGAGAUUUCAGGCGGUUCACGACGAUGCAUCGUGAAACAUUCGUCGGUUCCUUAACGAACCAUAUCGACAACUGGAGACGUGUGUCAAAUGAAAAACGAACGGACGAGACGUUCGACUGUUCAUGUUUAACGCUAGCAAUUACAUUAAUUGACAGCGUGAUUAGAGAUUAAAGACAAAGUAAUAUAAUUAGCAGAGAAAUGCAACAGCAGCUGCGGAAUAAUCGAGAAGGAUGAGACACUGAAUGGAAAUAUGUCUUAAAUUUUUUAAAAGAAUCUCUGAUCAAGUCGCGAGAAUGAUUCUUUCUUUCGCUUGCAAAGAGUCUUUCGACGAUCUUCCAAUUGAUCCAAAGCCAAUUCGAAGAUAGUCAAGCGCUGGUAGAAUACAGCUGUUACGAAAUUGAGCGCAUUUCAAUGGUCAGACAUACCGUCAAUGAACGUAAUAUCAAUGUUUUCUGAGACCGAAUGUCGCCUGAUUGCACGCACGUGGACUACGAUAAGAUAAGGCCUCGCGAGGAAGCGUUCAACAUUACCAUUUUCGAUCCAAGAUAGUCGAUAAACCGGUCAAACGUUAAACUUGCUAAUUCCAGCCUAUAUUUUCACUGAUAUCGUCAAUGGACAAUUGCGAAACGUAAUUAUAUAAACAGGAUAUUCGCUAAUGAGCACGAAUUUCAAAGCGUGACUAAACCAGGUUAAAAAAAGAAAACAUUAAAGAAAGAGUAUUACUAUUUUGUUUUAUACUGUCUUAUAGUUGUAAUCGGGAAAACGAAUCGAUCGAAUAGUAUUACGAGGGAAUAGGGUCCCGAUAGGCCCGAGUAAGUAUCAUCAAUGAACCGAGAACGAGAGAAAAACGUCGAUGAACACGUAACGUCCGCCAUUCAUCGUCCCAUUCGCUAUUUAUACGCAGCUUCUAUUUAUCAGGGAUGAAUGACAGAAGACACGCACGAUUAAAAACUUUUCCGCUACAUCGACCUGGUUACCGUAGCUAGCGACGUAAAUAUGCACCGAGCAUGGAUUUUAUUACCCCUCGUUAAAAGCCGAAAGGUUAGCCUCGUAUAUUUAGAAGUUCGUGAAUAAUCGUGAACAUUUUUCCCUCUCUCUCUGGGAUCGAUCGUAAGCAAAUCUAUCUACCGAGAUGAAUACUCUUUCAUAUUAGCUUCGUCGAGUUCCUUGAACGUUAGUUUCAUUGGAAACUAGAAAACCUGAAAUAAGAAAAACGAAGGGACUUCAGCGAGGAGGAUGAUCGUUUCAAAGUUCAGAGCGAUACAAGCAACUUAACUUAAAAGCUAAGCGACGUAACUUAAAAUUUCAAUACUUGAAAGGAGACUAUGUAUAGCAAUAAAGGUGAUAUUAGAAUCUUGGACGGACGUAGCGUGAUUUAAAAGAAAAAGAAUCGUGGGAGAUUCGAGUCGAUCCUCCGAAUGCGAGCAGGGGAUCGUUUUUCGACGAGUUCCGCGGAGGACUUCCGGCAGAGAAGCGGCCAAGUGGCCAGUUCCUGCACUGACAACAGCUGUCCUGCUUUCCUCUUAUUAAAUAUUCAUUGACAGAUGGCCUCGGAACGAAACACUGGAUAACUGUGAAAUUUGACAGUGCAAAGAUUACGUGAUGCAAUUCGUAAAUAUUUGCACAGGAAACAGGAUGAUUGCAGACUGUAAAUGUCAAAUGGACAACGCGAUGUUCCAGGGUAUCAUGAAUCGAGAAAGGCGCUUCUUGAACGUUCUCUUCGAAUAACUGUAAUAAGCAGGAGCAAGAAGAAAAUAUCCUUUGACAUAUUUCCUCUUAAAAAAUCGAGAAAACCAAUGGUUGGCUCGUUCGAUCUAUCAAGACCAGUAUUGUCAGGGGAAAACAGGUAUAAUCAGUAUGCAGCGGGAAGCUAGGAAAGGAAACGGAUGCACCACGCCCAAAUCGUUUAAUCCUGAAUCGAUGGCGAGCGAAUGGGCACGAUUGCAAACGGCUAAUUGUUCUAGACAGGCUCUUAUCAUCAAUCUGGUUCAAAUUCCCCUAUAUUACUUCCUCUCUUCCACUACUAUUCGUCAUUCGAAUAACCAAAGAUAUAAUCAACACUCAAAAUA